GUCGCAGCCAUACAAUAGGGCAUGGCUGGUGGGGGCCCUCCAAAACCUUGGCCACCGAGUGCAAACACCAGAGGCCAGAUAUCCAUUGAGCAAAUACCAGGUUGGAGAGGAGAAGAGCAAAGGAAAGACUCACCCUCCAUGGAGUGAGCAACAUUAUACUGUAUGUCUGCAACCAGAUGUCUCAGACGGCGAGCCAGUUUCUAUCCAAUAAUAUAAUAGUACCAACUCUGGUCAGGAGAUGGCAGUAUGUUCCCAUCAUAUAGCAAACGCCAUGCCUUAUACUGUAAUAGAAAAGCAGGGAUGCUUCACAAAAACAUUAGAUUAGAUGCACAGCAGGGCUUGAAUGAAAAGGUAGAGGUUGAAUGACUGACUAUCUGAAAGCCUAUGCGCUUCAAUGUUCUGGCAUUUAGCCUAUACGGUGUUGGGACUCUGAUAAUACAAACAUUUUGAGAUGUCAAAAAAAUUAAGAAAUUACAGAAAACCUGACAGUUUGA